rnacentral:rRNA from 1 species
UAAUCGAUCGAAGACUUAAUCAAAAUAAAUGUUUUGCGAAGCAAAAUCACUUUUACUUACUAUCUAGUUUUGAAUGUAUAAUCUACAUUCAUAUGCAUCUCCUAAGGCUAAAUACUCUCUAGUGACCGAUAGUGAACCAGUACCGUGAGGGAAAGGUGAAAAGCACCCCCCGGAAGGGGAGUGAAAUAGAACCUGAAACCGUGUGCUUACAAGUAGUCAGAGCCCGUUAAUGGGUGAUGGCGUGCCUUUUGUAGAAUGAACCGGCGAGUUACGAUUUGAUGCAAGGUUAAGCAGUAAAUGUGGAGCCGUAGCGAAAGCGAGUCUGAAUAGGGCGUUUAGUAUUUGGUCGUAGACCCGAAACCAGGUGAUCUACCCUUGGUCAGGUUGAAGUUCAGGUAACACUGAAUGGAGGACCGAACCGACUUACGUUGAAAAGUGAGCGGAUGAACUGAGGGUAGCGGAGAAAUUCCAAUCGAACCUGGAGAUAGCUGGUUCUCUCCGAAAUAGCUUUAGGGCUAGCCUCAAGUGAUGAUUAUUGGAGGUAGAGCACUGUUUGGACGAGGGGCCCCUCUCGGGUUACCGAAUUCAGACAAACUCCGAAUGCCAAUUAAUUUAACUUGGGAGUCAGAACAUGGGUGAUAAGGUCCGUGUUCGAAAGGGAAACAGCCCAGACCACCAGCUAAGGUCCCAAAAUAUAUGUUAAGUGGAAAAGGAUGUGGCGUUGCCCAGACAACUAGGAUGUUGGCUUAGAAGCAGCCAUCAUUUAAAGAGUGCGUAAUAGCUCACUAGUCGAGUGACACUGCGCCGAAAAUGUACCGGGGCUAAACAUAUUACCGAAGCUGUGGAUUGUCCUUUGGACAAUGGUAGGAGAGCGUUCUAAGGGCGUUGAAGCAUGAUCGUAAGGACAUGUGGAGCGCUUAGAAGUGAGAAUGCCGGUGUGAGUAGCGAAAGACGGGUGAGAAUCCCGUCCACCGAUUGACUAAGGUUUCCAGAGGAAGGCUCGUCCGCUCUGGGUUAGUCGGGUCCUAAGCUGAGGCCGACAGGCGUAGGCGAUGGAUAACAGGUUGAUAUUCCUGUACCACCUAUAAUCGUUUUAAUCGAUGGGGGGACGCAGUAGGAUAGGCGAAGCGUGCGAUUGGAUUGCACGUCUAAGCAGUAAGGCUGAGUAUUAGGCAAAUCCGGUACUCGUUAAGGCUGAGCUGUGAUGGGGAGAAGACAUUGUGUCUUCGAGUCGUUGAUUUCACACUGCCGAGAAAAGCCUCUAGAUAGAAAAUAGGUGCCCGUACCGCAAACCGACACAGGUAGUCAAGAUGAGAAUUCUAAGGUGAGCGAGCGAACUCUCGUUAAGGAACUCGGCAAAAUGACCCCGUAACUUCGGGAGAAGGGGUGCUCUUUAGGGUUAACGCCCAGAAGAGCCGCAGUGAAUAGGCCCAAGCGACUGUUUAUCAAAAACACAGGUCUCUGCUAAACCGUAAGGUGAUGUAUAGGGGCUGACGCCUGCCCGGUGCUGGAAGGUUAAGAGGAGUGGUUAGCUUCUGCGAAGCUACGAAUCGAAGCCCCAGUAAACGGCGGCCGUAACUAUAACGGUCCUAAGGUAGCGAAAUUCCUUGUCGGGUAAGUUCCGACCCGCACGAAAGGCGUAACGAUUUGGGCACUGUCUCAACGAGAGACUCGGUGAAAUCAUAGUACCUGUGAAGAUGCAGGUUACCCGCGACAGGACGGAAAGACCCCGUGGAGCUUUACUGUAGCCUGAUAUUGAAAUUCGGCACAGCUUGUACAGGAUAGGUAGGAGCCUUUGAAACGUGAGCGCUAGCUUACGUGGAGGCGCUGGUGGGAUACUACCCUAGCUGUGUUGGCUUUCUAACCCGCACCACUUAUCGUGGUGGGAGACAGUGUCAGGCGGGCAGUUUGACUGGGGCGGUCGCCUCCUAAAAGGUAACGGAGGCGCUCAAAGGUUCCCUCAGAAUGGUUGGAAAUCAUUCAUAGAGUGUAAAGGCAUAAGGGAGCUUGACUGCGAGACCUACAAGUCGAGCAGGGUCGAAAGACGGACUUAGUGAUCCGGUGGUUCCGCAUGGAAGGGCCAUCGCUCAACGGAUAAAAGCUACCCCGGGGAUAACAGGCUUAUCUCCCCCAAGAGUUCACAUCGACGGGGAGGUUUGGCACCUCGAUGUCGGCUCAUCGCAUCCUGGGGCUGUAGUCGGUCCCAAGGGUUGGGCUGUUCGCCCAUUAAAGCGGUACGCGAGCUGGGUUCAGAACGUCGUGAGACAGUUCGGUCCCUAUCCGUCGUGGGCGUAGGAAAUUUGAGAGGAGCUGUCCUUAGUACGAGAGGACCGGGAUGGACAUACCUCUGGUGUACCAGUUGUCGUGCCAACGGCAUAGCUGGGUAGCUAUGUGUGGACGGGAUAAGUGCUGAAAGCAUCUAAGCAUGAAGCCCCCCUCAAGAUGAGAUUUCCCAACUUCGGUUAUAAGAUCCCUCAAAGAUGAUGAGGUUAAUAGGUUCGAGGUGGAAGCAUGGUGACAUGUGGAGCUGACGAAUACUAAUCGAUCGAAGACUUAAUCAA